AACGAACGCUGGCGGCAUGCCUAACACAUGCAAGUCGAACGAGAUCUUCGGAUCUAGUGGCGCACGGGUGCGUAACGCGUGGGAAUCUGCCCUUCGGUUGGGAAUAACUGAGAGAAAUUUCAGCUAAUACCUUAUAAUGUCUUCGGACCAAAGAUUUAUCGCCGAGGGAUGAGCCCGCGUAGGAUUAGCUAGUUGGUGGGGUAAUGGCCUACCAAGGCGACGAUCCUUAGCUGGUCUGAGAGGAUGAUCAGCCACACUGGGACUGAGACACGGCCCAGACGCCUACGGGAGGCAGCAGUGGGGAAUAUUGGACAAUGGGCGAAAGCCUGAUCCAGCAAUGCCGCGUGAGUGAUGAAGGCCUUAGGGUUGUAAAGCUCUUUUACCAGGGAUGAUAAUGACAGUACCUGGAGAAUAAGCUCCGGCUAACUCCGUGCCAGCAGCCGCCGUAACAC
rnacentral:rRNA from 1 species